rnacentral:rRNA from 1 species
CCGGGGAGUACGGCACGCAAGUGUGAAACUCAAAGGAAUUGACGGGGGCCCGCGACAAGCGGUGGAGUAGUGUGGGUUUAAUUCGAUGAUACGCGAGGAACCUUACCCGGGCUCAAACGUUGGGGGAAUGACGGUGAAAGCCGUCAGCCAGCAAUGUCCGCCAACGAGGUGCUGCAUGGUUGUCGUCAGCUCGUGCCGUGAGGUGUCGGCUUAAGUGCCAUAACGAGCGCAACCCCUGCGUCCAGUUACCAUCAAGUCAUGUUGGGGACUCUGGACGGACUGCCGGCGCAAGCCGUGAGGAAGGCGGGGAUGACGUCAAAUCAGCACGGCCCUUACGUCCGGGGCGACACACGUGUUACAAUGGCGUGGAACAGCGGGAAGCCACCUGGCGACAGGGAGCGGACCCCUAAAACACGUCUCAGUUCGGAUUGGAGUCUGCAACUCGACUCCAUGAAGCUGGAUUCGCUAGUAAUCGCGCAUCAGCCAUGGCGCGGUGAAUACGUUCCCGGGCCUUGUACACACCGCCUGUCGACGCGGCCG